CUUUCCUUGAUCCCCUGGAAGGAAUGCAUUCAGGACAAAUAAUAUGAGGGUACCAGUUAGCAAUUGAAUGUGACAAGUUAUGACACACAUGGAAGAAACUGUUUAGUCUUCUGGUAUUUUCUGUAACCAUGCCGCUCAAGUUAUGCUGUGCAGGAAGGAAGAGAAACAAAUUUCACCAGGACUGUCCAGCUAUCCUGUUCCUUGCAUGAUCCCUGCUCAGUCUGUGACUGCUAAGUGGCUAAAUCUACAGGAGUUCUAAAGGAGACAGCACCAAAGAGGGGUAAGAUCUGAAGACAUUUGUUUCUCACUGGGACCUGGGGGCAAUCACCACCACUUGACUGAUUGGCUAAUACAGCCUGUGCUGCCUCAUGUCACCAUGCAAGAUGGCUGCUGUGUCACACCCCAGAGGUGGCUGCAUUUCUGUGUGACAGUUCUCUGUCAAACAGCUGCCCCAUUCCACUCCAGAGCUCCAGGUCAGUGCUGAGUUAGGCCAUAUUUUAAGGAUUCCUAUAAAGCAUUUUGGAAUUAGAGGCAUUUCAGUGGGAAAGAUAUUCUCC